AGAGUUUGAUCCUGGCUCAGAUUGAACCCUGGCGGCAGGCCUAACACAUGCAAGUCGAGCGGAUGAGUGGAGCUUGCUCCAUGAUUCAGCGGCGGACGGGUGAGUAAUGCCUAGGAAUCUGCCUGGUAGUGGGGGACAACGUUUCGAAAGGAACGCUAAUACCGCAUACGUCCUACGGGAGAAAGCAGGGGACCUUCGGGCCUUGCGCUAUCAGAUGAGCCUAGGUCGGAUUAGCUAGUUGGUGAGGUAACGGCUCACCAAGGCGACGAUCCGUAACUGGUCUGAGAGGAUGAUCAGUCACACUGGAACUGAGACACGGUCCAGACUCCUACGGGAGGCAGCAGUGGGGAAUAUUGGACAAUGGGCGAAAGCCUGAUCCAGCCAUGCCGCGUGUGUGAAGAAGGUCUUCGGGUUGUAAAGCACUUUAAGUUGGGAGGAAGGGCAGUAAGUUAAUACCUUGCUGUUUUGACGUUACCGACAGAAUAAGCACCGGCUAACUUCGUGCCAGCAGCCGCGGUAAUACGAAGGGUGCAAGCGUUAAUCGGAAUUACUGGGCGUAAAGCGCGCGUAGGUGGUUCAGCAAGUUGGAUGUGAAAGCCCCGGGCUCAACCUGGGAACUGCAUCCAAAACUACUGAGCUAGAGUACGGUAGAGGGUGGUGGAAUUUCCUGUGUAGCGGUGAAAUGCGUAGAUAUAGGAAG
rnacentral:rRNA from 1 species